rnacentral:rRNA from 1 species
GACGAACGCUGGCGGCGUGCCUAAUACAUGCAAGUCGAACGCAGUGGGGAAGGGUGAGUAACCCGGGGGUAACCUCACAUCAGCGGGGAUAACACUUGGAAACAGGUGCUAAACCGAUAGCGCUGGAUGGACCCGCGGUGCAUUAACUAGUGGGUGAGGUACCGGAGCACAAAGGCCCCGAUGAAUAGCCGACCCGAGAGGGUGAGCGGCCACACUGGGAGUGCGAACCGUCCCAGCCGCCUACGGUAGGCAGCAGGAGGGAAGCGUCGGCUAGUGACUAAAGUCUGACCGAGCAACGACGCGUGAGUGAAGAAGGUUUUCGGAUCGUAAAACUCUGUUGUUAGAGAAGCGGUAUCUAACCAGAAAGCCACGGCUAACUACGUGCCAGCAGCCGCGGUAAUUC